AGAUAUCACGAAGAACUCCGAUNGCGAAGGCAGCUUGCUGGACUGUAACUGACGCUGAGGCACGAAAGCGUGGGGAUCAAACAGGAUUAGAUACCNUGGUAGUCCACGCCGUAAACGAUGAAUGCUAGCUGUUAGCGAUAUACUGUUAGCGGCACAGAGAAAUCGUUAAGCAUUCCACCUGGGGAGUACGCCGGCAACGGUGAAACUCAAAGGAAUUGACGGGGGCCCGCACAAGCGGAGGAACAUGUGGUUUAAUUCGAUGAUACGCGAGGAACCUUACCUGGGCUUAAAUUGCAGUGGAAUAACGUGGAAACAUGUUAGCCUUCGGGCCGCUGUGAAGGUGCUGCAUGGUUGUCGUCAGCUCGUGCCGUGAGGUGUCGGCUUAAGUGCCAUAACGAGCGCAACCCUCAUCGAUAGUUACUAACAGGUUAAGCUGAGGACUCUAUCGAGACUGCCGACGUAAGUCGUGAGGAAGGUGGGGAUGACGUCAAAUCAGCACGGCCCUUACGUCCAGGGCUACACACGUGUUACAAUGGGGGGUACAAAGGGCAGCUACCUGGCGACAGGAUGCUAAUCUCAAAAACCUCUCUCAGUUCGGAUUGGAGUCUGCAACCCGACUCCAUGAAGCUGGAUUCGCUAGUAAUCGCGCAUCAGCCACGGCGCGGUGAAUACGUUCCCGGGCCUUGUACACACCGCCCGUCAAGCCAUGGGAGCCGGGGGGACCUGAAGUAUGCAACCGUAAGGAGCGUCCUAGGGUAAAACUGGUGACUGGGGCU
rnacentral:rRNA from 1 species